UCCCAGGUGCUCAGUGGUAAAGAAUCUGCCUGCAAUGCAGGAGACACAGGUUCAAUUCCUGGGUUGGGAA
rnacentral:tRNA from 1 species